GUCGAGCGGUAGAGAGAAGCUUGCUUCUCUUGAGAGCGGCGGACGGGUGAGUAAUGCCUAGGAAUCUGCCUGGUAGUGGGGGAUAACGUUCGGAAACGGACGCUAAUACCGCAUACGUCCUACGGGAGAAAGCAGGGGACCUUCGGGCCUUGCGCUAUCAGAUGAGCCUAGGUCGGAUUAGCUAGUUGGUGAGGUAAUGGCUCACCAAGGCGACGAUCCGUAACUGGUCUGAGAGGAUGAUCAGUCACACUGGAACUGAGACACGGUCCAGACUCCUACGGGAGGCAGCAGUGGGGAAUAUUGGACAAUGGGCGAAAGCCUGAUCCAGCCAUGCCGCGUGUGUGAAGAAGGUCUUCGGAUUGUAAAGCACUUUAAGUUGGGAGGAAGGGCAUUAACCUAAUACGUUAGUGUUUUGACGUUACCGACAGAAUAAGCACCGGCUAACUCUGUGCCAGCAGCCGCGGUAAUACAGAGGGUGCAAGCGUUAAUCGGAAUUACUGGGCGUAAAGCGCGCGUAGGUGGUUUGUUAAGUUGGAUGUGAAAUCCCCGGGCUCAACCUGGGAACUGCAUUCAAAACUGACUGACUAGAGUAUGGUAGAGGGUGGUGGAAUUUCCUGUGUAGCGGUGAAAUGCGUAGAUAUAGGAAGGAACACCAGUGGCGAAGGCGACCACCUGGACUAAUACUGACACUGAGGUGCGAAAGCGUGGGGAGCAAACAGGCCCUGGUAGUCCACGCCGUAAAACGAUGUCAACUAGCCGUUGGGAGCCUUGAGCUCUUAGUGGCGCAGCUAACGCAUUAAGUUGACCGCCUGGGGAGUACGGCCGCAAGGUUAAAACUCAAAUGAAUUGACGGGGGCCCGCACAAGCGGUGGAGCAUGUGGUUUAAUUCGAAGCAACGCGAAGAACCUUACCAGGCCUUGACAUCCAAUGAACUUUCUAGAGAUAGAUUGGUGCCUUCGGGAACAUUGAGACAGGUGCUGCAUGGCUGUCGUCAGCUCGUGUCGUGAGAUGUUGGGUUAAGUCCCGUAACGAGCGCAACCCUUGUCCUUAGUUACCAGCACGUAAUGGUGGGCACUCUAAGGAGACUGCCGGUGACAAACCGGAGGAAGGUGGGGAUGACGUCAAGUCAUCAUGGCCCUUACGGCCUGGGCUACACACGUGCUACAAUGGUCGGUACAGAGGGUUGCCAAGCCGCGAGGUGGAGCUAAUCCCACAAAACCGAUCGUAGUCCGGAUCGCAGUCUGCAACUCGACUGCGUGAAGUCGGAAUCGCUAGUAAUCGCGAAUCAGAAUGUCGCGGUGAAUACGUUCCCGGGCCUUGUACACACCGCCCGUCACACCAUGGCAGUGGGUUGCACCAGAAGUAGCUAGUCUAACCUUCGGGA
rnacentral:rRNA from 1 species